rnacentral:siRNA from 1 species
AUCGGCUCCCUAGAUUCGUCGGUA